AGGCUUAACACAUGCAAGUCGAACGGUAACAUAAAGAAGCUUGCUUCUUUGAUGACGAGUGGCGGACGGGUGAGUAAUGCUUGGGAAUCUAGCUUAUGGAGGGGGAUAACUACGGGAAACUGUAGCUAAUACCGCGUAAUAUCGAGAGAUUAAAGUGUGGGACCUUCGGGCCACAUGCCAUAGGAUGAGCCCAAGUGGGAUUAGGUAGUUGGUGAGGUAAAGGCUCACCAAGCCGACGAUCUCUAGCUGGUCUGAGAGGAUGACCAGCCACACUGGGACUGAGACACGGCCCAGACUCCUACGGGAGGCAGCAGUGGGGAAUAUUGCGCAAUGGGGGCAACCCUGACGCAGCCAUGCCGCGUGAAUGAAGAAGGCCUUCGGGUUGUAAAGUUCUUUCGGUAGCGAGGAAGGCAUUUAGUUUAAUAGACUAGGUGAUUGACGUUAA
rnacentral:rRNA from 1 species